GGCAGUGUAGCGUAGUGUUAAGGAGCAGGGCUUGUAACCAAAAGGUUCCUGGUUUAAUUCCCCACCGGGCACUGCUG